rnacentral:rRNA from 1 species
UACGUAGGGUGCGAGCGUUAAUCGGAAUUACUGGGCGUAAAGCGUGCGCAGGCGGUUUUGUAAGCCAGAUGUGAAAGCCCCGGGCUCAACCUGGGAAUGGCAUUUGGGGCUGCAAGGCUGGAGUAUGGCAGAGGAGACUAGAAUUCCUGGUGUAGCAGUGAAAUGCGUAGAUAUCAGGAGGAAUACCGAUGGCGAAGGCAGGUCUCUGGGCCAAUACUGACGCUCAUGCACGAAAGCGUGGGGAGCAAACAGG